GAAAUCUUGCCUUCAACUCAUCUUACCAAACAAACUGGAGAAAAGUUAAUUGCUCAGCACAAUUUGCUUAUUUAGAGCUGGACCUUGAACCCAGUCCUCUGCUUUGAAAACUUGAGACUUUCAGGAUUACCUUAAAAUCUUUGAUGAUGCAGUGGUAAGACACCUGUCCCAUCAGCCCCAGUUCCAGAGCAGACCUUCUGUGCCACUGCAUACUGGAAAAGAAGGGAAAAAGAAUGAAAAUUUACUAAGAAGCAAACACACACCAGGAAAUUAUAGAGUUAAAAGCUUGAAAAUGCUCCCACAAAAUUUGAGUUGUGUAUGCAAGUGGAACUUUGAGAGGAGAGGUCUGCUGGGUAAGAGAUCAGAAGAUCCACCUCUGGGAGGAGAAAGAGACCAACCAAUGCUUCUAGAAACCUGGACCCUGAAUCCCAUCUGAGACAAGAGAGGGUGUAAGAAGGAUGUGUGCUGAAGUGGGAAGAUCAUUACUGGAUGAAAGGCAGUUAAGCCCUGGAGAGAAGAGGUGCCUGAGGGGGAUCUUUAGCAGAAGUCAAGACUGUCCUUGGGAAUGCAUAAAGGGUAGGUAACCAGAG
ensembl:lncRNA